AUUGAUACCAAAGAAGUAAAAUGUGACAUGGGAAUAUACGAGAGGCUGGAUUUGCAGUCUGGUUGGGGUUGUUUUCCAUUUGUGUGAAUAAAGGAUUUGCCACUUGUGACUACCAGUUGUAAUUGUUUUCAAAUUAAGCUGCUUGAGUGAGAUCGAGAAGCUUGGGUUGGUUGAAACAAUUAUCUGCAGCUAAAAUUUUUCAAAUAAUAAUUACAAUUCUUCUUCUUUUGAUUAUUUGCAGAUGUUGCUUCCAAUUGGCUACCUUGCUUCCCUUUGACUGCAAGGAAGCUUGUUUAUGAUGUAUUUUUCAUAGAGGGUCUCGUUCUUGAGGUUGUCCAAGCCUUGAUUCCUUCUCUAGGCCACAAUGUCAGUGUAGUAAGAUCAAAUGCUGAAAGGUUGUCAUUAAGUUGAUGAUGCACUUGUUGAUUUUCAAAUUUGUUCUUGCUAAGGAUGAUCCCGCGUAUAAUUCUGUCAUGUUCUUACUGAAAGUUUGAUGGCAAUUUGUCCACAUGAUGCAAUCAUGAAUUUAUCUAAUACUAGCAUUUUGUUUCUCUCCAAUUAUUGACAGAUUAGUUGAACUCUGCUUGUUAGAAAAUGAAGGCGUUCUUCAGCUGGCUAGGGAACUUGGUGCUUACCAUGAAUCUAAAGACAGCUCUAAUUCUUUAGUCAAGCUGACAGUGUCUAGAGUGGCACAGCUUGUUGCGUCUGUCCCUGACAAAGCACGACUAGGAGCUCCUAAAUCUCUUUCAUCUCAGUAUCCUUUUCAUAUUCAACUAAAUGUACAUGCUUAAUAUUUAUAAAUUGUCGACUUGGUUAAAAUCAGUUAUCUCAGUCUUUUUGUCGUAGGAAUUUCAUCAACUCCUAAAUCUCUUUCAUCUCAGUAUCCUUUUAUACUAUACUAAAUAUGCAUGGUUAAUAUUCUAGGGCAUACCAAGUGUACAAGUGCAAUGGUGGGCAUUGUCCGAAUAAAACGAGUUUUAAGUCGUGUAAACCCAUUCAUAUAGAGUGUGCUCAACAAAUCGGCGGAACUGAGUGUGGCUAUUACGUUAUGAAGUUCAUGUUAGAGAUAGUCACGUUACAACAUGACUAUGAAGGCCGACUAGAUGAGGUCUAUACUCCGAGGACUGCGCCUUAUGCUAGUGAGGAAAUUGAUGUGGUUCGUGAGCAAUGGGCGAAGUUUUUUACCACCAAGUAUUUAUUAUUGACCUGAGGGCGCUUGAUCGUGUUGGUUUAGAUGUUAUAGAACAAUCUUUUAUGUUAAAAUGUAUGCGUACGUUGAAAUUGGAACGUAAAUAUAUUUAAAUGUAUCGGUAUGUGCACUUUUGGUUUUGGGAUAUAUACAAAACUCCAGUUGUUGUUUUUAUAUUUGUUAUACAGGUUGCGUUAUUCUAUUA